rnacentral:sRNA from 1 species
GCAUAUCAAUAAGCGGAGGAAAAGAAACCAACAGGGAUUGCCUCAGUAACGGCGAGUGAAGCGGCAACAGCUCAAAUUUGAAAUCUGGCCGCAAGGUCCGAGUUGUAAUUUGUAGAGGAUGCUUUUGGCGAGGUGACUUCCGAGUUCCCUGGAACGGGACGCCAUAGAGGGUGAGAGCCCCGUACGGUCGUGCCACCGAGCCUCUGUAAAGCUCCUUCGACGAGUCGAGUAGUUUGGGAAUGCUGCUCUAAAUGGGAGGUGUACGUCUUCUAAAGCUAAAUACCGGCCAGAGACCGAUAGCGCACAAGUAGAGUGAUCGAAAGAUGAAAAGCACUUUGAAAAGAGGGUUAAAAAGUACGUGAAAUUGUUGAAAGGGAAGCAUUCAUGACCAGACUUGGGCUUGGUUGAACAUCCGGCGUUCUCGCCGGUGCACUCUGCCAGCUCAGGCCAGCAUCAGUUUGCCCCGGGGGACAAAGGCGGCGGGAAUGUGGCUCCCCACGGGGAGUGUUAUAGCCCGUCGUGCAAUGCCCUGGGGUGGACUGAGGUUCGCGCUCGGCA